rnacentral:lncRNA from 1 species
GGACUUUGACUUUUUCUUCUAACUCUCCACCAAUGAAAAAGGAGCUGGGCUGGCUGCUGGGCUGGAAGCUGUCUACAUUCUCAUUUAGAGGUGACAGUCCAUCAUUCUACUGGAUGGGACUGAGGACCAGAUCCAGUCAGCUCGAGCAAAUUCCACCAAUACUUUUAGGUCUCUUUAAUAUGUAAGGCAAACUUUAAAAGCCUUUCUUCUUCCCAAGUGCUGAGCAAUGCUAAAGGUAAGGAGAGGAUAGAUCCCCACUGCUCAGUAUACAAGCCUCUACUCUCUAGAACAAAAGCUGCCUGAUGCUUGUCAGUGGCACCCAGUCCCCAGGACUGCCUCAGCUGAAGGUCAGCUUUACAUCUUCAACCACAAACAGGUCACUGGCUGACCGGCCCUCCAAACCCACCACCUUUCAAAGGGGGCUAAUGUAAUUAGUGUGGGACUGGUCUAUAUCAGUCAUUCCUCUUUCCAACUGCUGAGGUUUAGGGGAUUCUGGGAGAACAUGAGGUACCACUACUGCUGGAAUCAUUAGCAUCUCUGUAACAGAGAACUCUCUGUGACUCCUCUGGAGGCAGAUGAAGAUGAGUAUAAGUGUAAGAGUUAUCUGUUUGGUUAGAUUAAAAGGAGACAGAAAAGCUCACUUCUGAUCUUUGACUACUCUGAAGAUGAGAUGCUGGAUCUAGUACAAACAGUUUGCAUUCAUCAGGUUUUUACCAACUCAUCAAGGUUGCCUGGAAAGAAUAUACAAAAAAAGACAAGGCUUAUACUGAAAAAUUUGAAAUCCUGGAUCUACCAGUUGUUUACCUUGGUGUCUUGUACCCUCCCCUUUAUUUUCAAGUAUCAGCUCUGUUUCUCCUAAAUGGGAGUCAUGACAUCCUAAGAUAGGCAGACUGUAGGGAUGACUGACUUAUUGUCUUAGCUAUGGCUUUAUUGCUGUGAACAGAUACCAUGAGCAAGGCAAGUCUUAUUGGGGCUGGCUAACAGGUUCAGAGGUUUGGUCCAUUAUCCUGGAGGACAGCAUCCAGGCAGGCAUGAUGCAGGAGGAGUUGAGAGUUCUACAUCUUUAUCUGAAGGCCAUUAGGAUAAGUCUGGCUUUCAGAGAGCUAGGAUGAGGGUCUUAAAGCACAUGCCCACAGUGACACACCCACUCCAACAAGGCCACACCUCCAAAUAGUUCCACUCCCUGGUCUAGGCAUCCUCAAAUGACCACAUAUAUUAUGAUGGAUGGGCAAGCAUUCAAAUGCUGUGCAACAGUCCAGAGCUUUGGUGAGGCAAGAUGAUAAUACUGUGUUAUAUAAAGUGUGUAUUCAGCACUAAUCGCACAGAUGGUACACCUGGUGAUAUCAUAGCUAUGGUACUGUUCACAGUGAUGUAAUCUCCUAUAAUGUAUACUUAUUGCUAAGCAACAAGCAACUUUAUUAAAGGCCAUGACAUUUUCUUACACUCUAUUUUGGGUAACAGCAUCUGUGCCAGGUGUCGAAGAUGAAGUUUUAUAAAGUAUGAUUUCAUUUAAAAAAAAAACAUGAAAUAGAAUUUGUUGUGUUGUGAAAGCGUAGACAAUUUACUUAACAUGUAAUUGUUCUGUGUGAUAUAGGUUUUUACAAUAUUCUCUCUAAUAGUCGCUUUGUUAAUGAAUGUUAAAUAUGGCUCCCAAGUCGAGUGGAGUGCUGCAGUAUGUAUGUUGGGUCUGUUAUUAUGAUAUUUUUUACAUGAAAAAGCUAAGGCUUUGAAAGGAUCCAAUUCUGUAUAAAAUAGCAUACAGAUUUUAGGACUAGAAACACAAUCCUAUAUCAUCCCUCUUCCCCCUGCUUCUAUAAGGGUGCUCCCCCACCCACCUACCAUUUUCCACCUCCCUGUCCUCACAUUACACUAGGUCAUCAAACCUUUAUAGAACCUCUCCUCCCAUUGAUGCCCAUCAAGGCCAUCCUCUGCUACAUAUACUCCUAGAGCCAUGAUUCCCUCUAUGUGUACUCUUUGGUUGGUGGUUUAGUCACUGGGAGCUCUAGAGGGUGUAUGUGUGUGGUCUGGUUGGUUCAUAUAGUUAUUCUUCCUAUGAGAUUGUAAACCCCUUCAGCUCCUUCAGUCCUUUCUCUAACUCCUCCAUUGGGUACCCUGUGCUCAUUCCAAUGGUUUGCUGCGAGCAUCCACAUCUGUAUAUGUCAGGCUCUGGAAGAGCCUCUCAGGAGACAGCUAUAUCAGACUCCUCUCAGCGUGCACUUGAAAUAUAAAGAAAAUAUCC